GACAGAGGCCUCGAGCGUUAGGCGGAAUCACUGGGCUUAAAGCGUGUGUAGGCGGAUCGCUAAGUGCCUUGUGAAAUCCCACGGCUUAACUGUGGAACGGCUGGGCAUACUGGCGGUCUUGAGCCAUCUAGGGGCGACUGGAACAAACGGUGGAGCGGUGAAAUGCGUAGAUAUCGCUUGGAACGCCAACGGUGAAAACAGGUUGCUGGGGGUGUGCUGACGCUGAGACACGAAAGCCAGGGGAGCGAACGGG
rnacentral:rRNA from 1 species